CUCUCGGAAUAAAUAAAAUCAACAUAAUUCAAACAUAAUUCUCAAGCUCAGGCAAAAGCACGUGAUGGCAGCAUGCAAAAUAUGUGUGUGCGACUGGACGGGCUAGUUGAACCGAUCUCGAGUUGGGGCAAACUUUGGCUUUAUGUUUUCCUAUUGUGGAUGAAAUAUAUAUAUAAACCAAAGCCAACAGUUUUGUUUGAUUGUCCAAGGCUGUGCAUUAAAAUUCAAGGCGUGCCGCCACUCAUUAAAAUUUAUCUACGUCAUAAAUUCCCCAAAAAAAGAGCCCACCAAAUUAUGUAUGUUUUACGUAAAGCUACCAUUUACCAUUUACCAUUUACGAUUUACCAUUUGUAUGGCCGUUGUAAAAAUAUUGGGCAACGGUGCGUAUGAGCGAUGCCUGCUUUGUGCUGAUCUGUGGAUGCAAGCAUUCGAAAAUAGCUAGCUAAUUGGACUGCCACACAAAUUAAGCCUAUUUUAAUUGCACAUUUGAACUGAUGCUCUGGAUUAGCAGCGACAUACGAAAUCGUAUGCAAAUUGAAUGAACAACUUUCCCAAAUUAAACCUAUACAACAUAAAUGAAAGGUAUGAAAACAGA